CCGCCCUCCCAGGUGGACAAGGAAAUGAGAGAAAAAAUAUGAAAAGUCGUUUUUUUGAAGUUUUUGAAGAAUUUCAUGAAUUUCAUGAAUUUUAAUUUUACUACUUGGAGUUGAAGUUGGACAAUUUUGUGCAGAUUUAUUUAUUUAUGUAUUUUGUAUGAAAAGACAUUUGUUUUUUGAAAAGUUUCAUGGAUUUCAUGAAUUUUGCAAAAAAAUAAUUAAUUUUUCCGUGAAUCAGAUAAUAUUCUAAUUAGAACUAUGUGAUUCACAUGUGAAUGAAUUUUAAUUUUUUGGGAGAAAAACUUAAGUAUUUUGAGGCAGAAUUUUACUAUUUGGGAUUUAAGUUAAACAAUUUUGUGGAGAUUUAUAAAAUCACAUUUAUUUAUGUAUUUUUGUGUAUGAAAGAACGACAUUUGGUUUUUGAAAAGUUUCAGAAAUUUCAUUUAAAAAAAUAAUUAUUUGAAUUUUUACAUAAAGUUUAAUUAGAACUAUAUAAAUGAUUUUUUUAUCAAAUUUUAAUUUCUUUAAAGCAGACUUUUACUAUUUGGAGUUGAAGUUCGACAAUUUUGUGAAGAUUUAUAGAAUCACAAUUCAUGUAUUUUUGUGCAUGAAAGACGACAGUUGUUCUUUUUAAAUUUUUUCAUGAAUAUCAAAUUUAUAAGAAAGAUGAAAAAUUCAAUUUGGAGUGAGAAGAGAUUUAUGCGUAAAAGCACAUUUUAUAUUUUUAUUCGUAUGAAAAUGUAAGCUAAAAUGGACAGCAUUUCAUGAUUUAUUGGGACGGUAUUAAAGUAAAGAUUGCAAUUUUUUUGACCUUCUAUUUUCCAUGCAGGUAAAUAUAAUACGAG